GGGAUGAAUGAGAUUCGAAAGCCUCAAGAUUCAUCAAAUGGGUGAACACAGUCUGGACCUCGCAAGAGGUACUUACGUUAGAGUGCUAGAUUUAUAUACAAUUGAUACUAGUAAAAGGUG
rnacentral:rRNA from 1 species